rnacentral:snRNA from 1 species
AGCUUUGCGCAGUGGCAGUAUCGUAGCCAAUGAGGUUUAUCCGAGGCGCGAUUAUUGCUAAUUAAAAUGACUUAUUAAAUCACUAGUUCUAUUGUAAUCCUUUAAACAUCCAGGCAAGAGG